GCGGGGGUGGGAGCCGGGCGCGGAGCGGUGCGGGACGGCGCGGGGCGGUGCGGGGCUGCGCGGUGGCGGCGAGCCCGCGUCUGCAGCCCGGGCGCCGCGCGAGGCUCCGCGCCUUUUCUAGAGGCGCGCUGACAUCACGUCCUGCCCCGCCGCCAUUGGCUGCCGCCGCGCCCCGCGCCCGCCGGCAUGUGCUCGGCCGCGGCCCCGCCACCGCCGCCGCCCCCCGGCCCCGCACGGCCCCGGCACGCGGGGACGGCCCCGGGCCGAGCCGCCCGCCCAGCAGCGCGGGGCUCGGCCCCUGAGCCCCAGCCCGCCGGGGGCCGCUCGGAGCCCCGCGGGGUGUCCCCUGCCUGCCGGCGCUGCGGGGCCCCGCAGGACGAGGAGCCCCGUGAAGCACGGCCCCGAGCCACCGGGCCCGGCACCGGGACCCAGGAGUCACGCCUGGACCCUCCCGCUCCGGGUCAGCGAACUUGAGCCGCGUGUUGCUGGAGCUGUGCGGUACCGACCCCCCGAGGUGACAGGUGAACAAAUCACAGGUCUUGAGUUUCUCUACCCUGCCUCUCUUGGUAACGUCAUCUCCAGUACCAUCUGCUACCUACCAGACAAACAGACCAACCACAUAAUGAGGUACCAGCUUCCACCCAGCUACCGUGACUAAAUCAGAACAAAAGCUUCAACGCCUCCUUCAACAAAGGAACACAAGUCUAAGCUGUCUUUGCUAAUUGCUGGGUUUCAGGUUGUCUGUUACAGAUUUUAAGUGAGCUACAAACUUCCAUCAGAUACUUAGAGCUGUUGGAUAAAGGUACUAAGAAUAAAAGAUAAAUGGAAGCAAAAGGCAAUGAUGUUGUUCUCCUAAAAUGUGAGACAGUUUGCUUCUUGUCAGCAAGUGGAGCUCAGCUCAGCUCUUCAUCUCCCUGAGCUGCUGGAGACAGACUAGCAUGCUUCAGAUUUACUCGCUCGAUAGACUGACUCGAAAUGAUUCUGGGAAAUGAUUGCUCCAUUCAUAUAUCACUUUUUGCGCUUCUUAUAUACCAAGUGAGACACUUUGGGUGAUUUUAAAGUGAAAGAAAAUAAUAAAAUAAGCUUAUUAAGAAACACCAUUCAGUUUAAAAAUAGGACAUUUCUUGUCACAGAUGCUGUCCCCAAACUGGAAAUGAGCGUAUUUAUAAAUAUGUUUUUAGUAUUCCAGGGUAAGAAAUGUUUAAUAUCUGUUUCUUUUUCUAAAUAAUUGCUAUCCUUACCCAGUAAGUGCAAAAAUGGUGCGUGAGUCACAGGAAAUUUAAGUGGUUUGUCUUGGGAAAAUUUGGUGGUAUGCAUUUUUUUGACGCACAUAGAGCUGUUGAAUGAAUAAUUGGCAACCUAUUUAAUGUCCUUUGCUUUAAAGCUGUCGAGUACAUUUGCUGUUUAAAAAAUGUCUUUCAAAGCUGUUAAAUAUGUAACAAAAAGGGGUUGCUAUCACCAUUCUGACAUGAACAAAGCCAUACAGUGAGCUGCCCGAGGUACCUCCAGCAUGGUAUUAAUUACAAACGCAAUAAAAAAAGAAAAUUCGCAAAGUUCUCAAAUUCCGUUUCUUUGCAGUAUCAGCUGAUGAAUGUUUUAUAAAAACAUACAGUAAAAAUCUCAGUCCAGGAAUUAGCCGUUAAUUAUUACCUAAGCCAAGCACUUGGGGGAGAGCAGGGAAUCUGUUGGAUCUGUAAUUUCACCAGUUAGCCCUGGCGAGUAAGAUCUCUAGCUGUCUCAGAAGCAAACCGAGCUUAAAACAGUAACACACUUUCAAGAAGAUGAUCGGCUAAGAAUGUGCUUUAUUUUGAUUUGAAAAACUGUCAAUCAUAGCUAAAAAAGAGCAAAUAAUGCUUUUAUACAAUACGAGCUAAUUGUAUUUGUCUGAUAAACCAAGAAUAUGCAGGAAAAAUAAAUAAUAAAAUGUAAAAUGAAAAUAUUCAGAAUGUUUUGCCCAGAUGUUGUGUAGAGAUUGUUUGUCGCUGGUACAAGCAGUAGAUUUCAGAAAAAUAUGCAAGCAUGUAUCUAUACGUGUGAGAGAGAAAUAAGAUACCCAUAAUCUUACAUAUUUCAGUUUAUAUAGCCACAGCUAUUUAAACAAUUCCAAAACUGCCUCUACGGGUGUUAGAGAGGGAGGGAAAUCUUCAGCCACAUGAUCUUCUCUCCAGAGUCCUGUUAAAUCCACUGAACUUAAAACAGAACAAGAAGUGUGAAAUAUGGGUUUGAACAUGUUAUGUCAGAAAUGUAAAGGUUGGAAGCCUUUUUAGUAACUGAUAUUAAUAUUGUAUUAAAUGUUAUGAAAAGGUAGGUGUUGGAGAGAAGGGCUGGGCUCAUGUGCAAUUUUGUCAAGGUUUUUAUCUGUGAUUAUGAUUCCAGAUGUAUCUAUUCCCUGAGGAGAAAAAUGAAGUAAAGUUGGCAUGUGACAUGUGUUUUAAGGUGUUUGGCACAGUUUCCCAAAGUGAUGACAAAAUGUUCAUUUUUAUUACUGUGAAUUGGUAAAGAAAAUAUGAUUCUGAAGGUCAGUGGCUGUGUAUUCAAGAUAGCUGUGGAGAGUUAUUUUGGGGAAUACGGAUUUUUGGUGGUGUGUUUAGAUUUAAUUGCCUGACUCGAGCUUUUCCCAUAGUAAAUAAUAAUUUAAAUAGCAUAUUUUUUUACAAAAUAUGAUUUUUUGAUUACUGCUAAUCCAAUAAAAUUCAUGUACAGAAUAUGGUAAA